rnacentral:rRNA from 1 species
AUUGAACGCUGGCGGCAGGCUUAACACAUGCAAGUCGAGCGAGCGGCGGACGGGUGAGUAAUGUCUGGGAAACUGCCUGAUGGAGGGGGAUAACUACUGGAAACGGUAGCUAAUACCGCAUACCAUCGGAUGUGCCCAGAUGGGAUUAGCUAGUAGGGGGGGUAAUGGCUAACCUAGGCGACGAUCCCUAGCGGGUCUGAGAGGAUGACCAGCAACACUGGAACUGAGACACGGUCCAGACUCCUACGGGAGGCAGCAGUGGGGAAUAUUGCACAAGGGGCGAAAGCCGGAUGAAGCCAUGCCGCGUGUGUGAAGAGGGCCUUCGGGUUGUAAAGCACUUUCAGCGAGGAGGCGUUACUCGCAGAAGAAGCACCGGCUAACUCCGUGCCAGCAGCCGCGGUAAUAC